UAUAACCAGGUAAUGUCUCAAGUUAUAACCAGGUUAUAACCAGGUAAUGUUUCAGGUUAUAACCAGGUUAUAACCAGGUAAUGUCUUAUGUUAUAACGAGGUUAUAACCAGGUAAUGUCUCAGGUUAUAACCAGGUUAUAACCAGGUAAUGUCUCAGGUUAAAACCAGGUUAUAACCAGGUAAUGUCUCAGGUUAAAACCAGGUUAUAACUAGGUUAUAACCAGGUAAUUUCUCCGGUUAUAACCAGGUUAUAACCAGGUAAUGUCUCAGGUUAAAACAUGGUUAUAACCAGGUAAUGUCUCGGGUUAUAACCAGGUAAUAACCAAGUUAUAACCAGGUUAUUACCAGGUAGUGUCUCAGGUAAAAACCAGGUUAUAACUAGGUUAUAACCAGGUAAUGUCUCUGGUUAAAACCAGGUUAUAACCAGGUAAUGUCUCAGGAUAUAACCAGGUUAUAAACAGGUAAUGUCUCAGGUUAUAACCUGGUUAUAAUCAGGUAAUGUCUCAGGAUAUAACCAGGUUAUAACCAGGUUAAGACCAGGUAAUGUCUCAGGUUAUAACCAGGUUAUGACCAGGUAAUUUCUCAGGAUCUAACCAGGUUACAACCAGGUAAUUUCUCAGGAUAUAACCAGGGUAUAACCAGGUAAUGUCUCAGGUUAUAACCAGAUUAUAACCAGGUAAAGUCUCAGGAUAUAACCAGGUUAUAACCAGGUUAUGACCAGGUAAUGUCUCAGGUUAUAACCAUGUUAUAACCAGGUAAUGUCUCAGGUUAUAACCAAGUUAUAUACAGGAAAUGUCUCAGGUUAAAACCAGGUUAUAAUUAGGAUAUAACCAGGUAAUGUCUUAGGUUAAAACCAGGUUAUAACCAGGUUAUUACCAGGUAAUGUCUGAGGUUAUAACCAGGUUAUAACCAGGUAAUGUCUCAGGUUAUAACAUGGUCAUAACCAGGUAAUGUCUCAGGUUAUAACCAGGUAAUAAGCAAGUUAUAACCAGGUUAUUACAAGGUAGUGUCUUCAGGUUAAAAGCAGGUUAUUACCAGGUAAUGUCUCAGGUUAUAACCAGGUCAUGUCUCAGGUUAAAACCAGGUUAUAACCAGGUAAUGUCUCAGGUUAUAACCAGGUUAUAACCAGGUAAUGUCUCAGGUUAAAACCAGGUUAUAACCAGGUAAUGUCUCAGGUUAAAACCAGGUUAUAACUAGGUUAUAACCAGGUAAUUUCUCCGGUUAUAACCAGGUUAUAACCAGGUAAUGUCUCAGGUUAAAACAUGGUUAUAACCAGGUAUUGUCUCGGGUUAUAACCAGGUAAUAACCAAGUUAUAACCAGGUUAUUACCAGGUAGUGUCUCAGGUAAAAACCAGGUUAUAACUAGGUUAUAACCAAGUUAUGUCUCUGGUUAAAACCAGGUUAUAACCAGGUAAUGUCUCAGGUUAUAACCAGGUUAUAAACAGGUAAUGUCUCAGGAUAUAACCAGGUUAUAAACAGGUAAUGUCUCAGGUUAUAACCAGGUUAUAACCUGG